AAAAUGCGAUACUUGGUUUGAAUUGCAGAAUACCGUUAACCAUCGAGUUUUUGAACGCAAUUUGCGCCCGAAGCCAUCCGGCUGAGGGCACGCCUGCCUGCGCGUCACGCAUUGCGUCGCUCCCCACCACACCUCCCCAACAGGUUGGCAUGGUGUUGGGGGCGGAUAAUGGCCUCCCGUGCUUGUGUUUCGGUUGGCCUAAAUAAGAGUUCUCUUCGGCGGAUACACGACUAGUGGUGGUUGAACAGACCCUCAUCUUUUGUUGUGUGUCGUGAGCCGUAAGGGUAGCCCUUAUCAAAGACCCCAUUGUAUCGUCUUCGGAUGAUGCUUCGACCGCGACCCCAGGUCAAGUGGGACUACCCGCUGAGUUUAGGC
rnacentral:misc_RNA from 1 species